AGUAAUAAUUCCAGACUGAUGAAAGCAGUAUGGUCAUACAAUAUAUAGACUUCUAGUUAUUUGAUUCCUUCAAUGAAUUAGGCCACUUUAACAGUGCAGAAUUAAAAUUUUCAAAUUGCAUUAAGAACUAAAGGGCCACACUGAGAAGCACAUUGCUUCUUGAAGACUACAGAAAAGCACUGGUUAGACGAAUGUGAAAGAAGAAACGACGCCCUUGGACCCUCCGGCGGCUUACAACGAACCGCUUGCAACCCAAUGCAGCUGCUCCUCCUUUUCAGUUGCAAAUCAACAGCAGCAGAAUCUUUAAGAGCUGACUCGUAGCAGA
rnacentral:misc_RNA from 1 species